UGGAGCUGGGGCUCAGUGGCAGAGCACUUGCCUAGCAUGUGUGAGACACUGCGUUAAAUCCUUAGCACCACAUAAAAAUAAAAUAAAGGCAUGCUGUCCAUACACUAAUACAUAUAUAUAUAUAUAUAUAUAUAUAUAUAUAUAUAUAUAUAUAUAAUAUUAAAAAGAGGUUGGAUGUAGCUCAGUACUACAGUCCUUGCCUAGCAUGAGCAAGACCCUGGGUUCAAUCCCCAGCACUGCAA
rnacentral:tRNA from 1 species